rnacentral:rRNA from 1 species
AACGAACGCUGGCGGUAUGCCUAACACAUGCAAGUCGAACGAGAUCUUCGGGUCUAGUGGCGCACGGGUGCGUAACGCGUGGGAAUCUGCCCUUUGGUUCGGAAUAACAGUUGGAAACGACUGCUAAUACCGGAUGAUGACGAAAGUCCAAAGAUUUAUCGCCAGAGGAUGAGCCCGCGUAGGAUUAGCUAGUUGGUGUGGUAAAGGCGCACCAAGGCGACGAUCCUUAGCUGGUCUGAGAGGAUGAUCAGCCACACUGGGACUGAGACACGGCCCAGACUCCUACGGGAGGCAGCAGUGGGGAAUAUUGGACAAUGGGCGAAAGCCUGAUCCAGCAAUGCCGCGUGAGUGAUGAAGGCCUUAGGGUUGUAAAGCUCUUUUACCCGGGAUGAUAAUGACAGUACCGGGAGAAUAAACUCCGGCUAACUCCGUGCCAGCCGCCGCAGUAA